rnacentral:rRNA from 1 species
AGAACGAACGCUGGCGGCAGGCUUAACACAUGCAAGUCGAGCGCCCCGCAAGGGGAGCGGCAGACGGGUGAGUAACGCGUGGGAACAUACCCUCCGGUUCGGAAUAGCUCAGGGAAACUUGGAUUAAUACCGGAUACGGCCUAGCGGCGAAAGAUUCAUCGCCGGAGGAUUGGCCCGCGUCUGAUUAGCUAGUUGGUGGGGUAAUGGCCCACCAAGGCGACGAUCAGUAGCUGGUCUGAGAGGAUGAUCAGCCACAUUGGGACUGAGACACGGCCCAAACUCCUACGGGAGGCAGCAGUGGGAAUAUUGCGCAAUGGGCGAAAGCCUGACGCAGCGACGCCGCGUGGAGGAUGAAGGCCUUCGGGUUGUAAACCCCUUUCAGCAGGGACGAAGCGAAAGUGACGGUACCUGCAGAAGAAGCGCCGGCUAACUACGUGCCAGCAGCCGC